UACGUAGGGGGCAAGCGUUGUCCGGAUUUAUUGGGCGUAAAGAGCUCGUAGGCGGCUCGGUAAGUCGGAUGUGAAACCCCCAGGCUCAACCUGGGGACGCCACUCGAUACUGCUGUGACUAGAGUCCGGUAGGGGAGCGUGGAAUUCCUGGUGUAGCGGUGAAAUGCGCAGAUAUCAGGAGGAACACCAGCGGCGAAGGCGGCGCUCUGGGCCGGUACUGACACUGAGGAGCGAAAGCGUGGGUAGCAAACAGG
rnacentral:rRNA from 1 species